CUGGGUGGCUUCGGCCUAAACCCCCCAAUCAUUGUGAACGAUACCAGUGGCUCAGCUGGUGGCGGUGAAAAUCGCCCUGGCGGGCACUAGACUCUUCUAAUGUUAUCUCUGAGUUACUUUUAAAUAAGUCA
rnacentral:misc_RNA from 1 species